rnacentral:lncRNA from 1 species
AUGUUGACAACAGAAACAGCAUGGGUUUGGGAUGUCUCAAACCCCCAGCACUCUAUCGACCAGCUUUUAUAUAGGAACAUCGUUGUAAUAAGCAAUGUAACCAUACGUAAUGCACCAUGUAACACCAUACGUAAUGCACCAUGUAACACCAUACGUAAUGCACCAUGUAACACCAUACGUAAUGCACCAUGUAACACCAUACGUAAUGCACCAUGUAACACCAUAUGUAAUGCACCAUGUAACACCAUAUGUAAUGCACCAUGUAACACCAUAUGUAAUGCACCAUGUAACACCAUAUGUAAUGCACCAUGUAACACCAUAUGUAAUGCACCAUGUAACACCAUAUGUAAUGCACCAUGUAACACCAUAUGUAAUGCACCAUGUAACACCAUAUGUAAUGCACCAUGUAACACCAUACGUAAUGCACCAUGUAACACCAUACGUAAUGCACCAUGUAACACCAUACGUAAUGCACCAUGUAACACCAUACGUAAUGCACCAUGUAACACCAUAUGUAAUGCACCAUGUAACACCAUAUGUAAUGCACCAUGUAACACCAUAUGUAAUGCACCAUGUAACACCAUACGUAAUGCACCAUGUAACACCAUACGUAAUGCACCAUGUAACACCAUACGUAAUGCACCAUGUAACACCAUAUGUAAUACACCAUGUAACACCAUAUGUAAUGCACCAUGUAACACCAUAUGUAAUGCACCAUGUAACACCAUACGUAAUACACCAUGUAACACCAUAUGUAAUGCACCAUGUAACACCAUAUGUAAUGCACCAUGUAACACCAUACGUAAUGCACCAUGUAACACCAUACGUAAUGCACCAUGUAACACCAUACGUAAUGCACCAUGUAACACCAUAUGUAAUGCACCAUGUAACACCAUAUGUAAUACACCAUGUAACACCAUAUGUAAUGCACCAUGUAACACCAUAUGUAAUGCACCAUGUAACACCAUACGUAAUGCACCAUGUAACACCAUACGUAAUGCACCAUGUAACACCAUACGUAAUACACCAUGUAACACCAUAUGUAAUGCACCAUGUAACACCAUAUGUAAUACACCAUGUAACACCAUAUGUAAUGCACCAUGUAACACCAUAUGUAAUGCACCAUGUAACACCAUAUGUAAUGCACCAUGUAACACCAUACGUAAUACACCAUGUAACACCAUAUGUAAUGCACCAUGUAACACCAUAUGUAAUGCACCAUGUAACACCAUAUGUAAUGCACCAUGUAACACCAUAUGUAAUGCACCAUGUAACACCAUAUGUAAUGCACCAUGUAACACCAUACGUAAUGCACCAUGUAACACCAUACGUAAUGCACCAUGUAUGCACUCUUAA